CCAGAGAGAAAGAAGCACUAAGGCAGAAUUGGGGUUAUUUUCACAUCACCUGAUUCCAUCAUAGAAGGAGCUGUAGGACACCAGCACUCUGGAAAACUUCCAACAAAAUGGUAUGAAAGGUUUAUAUGGGUGCUGAGAUGUUCCAGUGCUUGGAUCAAUCUGUUUAUUUAAUGUGGGAAGGAGUGGAUUUCUAUUUUUGUCUGUUUUUUGGUUGUGUUACUUUAAGUUUCUGGAAUUUUACAUCAGCAGAGUUGAUCCAGGUAUAGAGACAGAGAAUCAUGAAAUCAGAAUGGUUUGGGUUGGAGGGGACCUUAAAUCCCAUCUUGUUCCACCCCUCUCCCAUGGGCAGGGACACCUUCCACUAUCCCAGGUUGCACCAUCCAACCUGGCCUUGGACAUUUCCAGGGAGGAAUUUUAAGAGAUUAGAUGAUUUUUAAGGUCCCUUCCAAUCCAGUCCUGUGAUUCCCUGAUUUUCUAAAAGCUCAUCAGAAACACCUCCACUCCCAGGAUUUUUAACGUGCUCUGUUCUCCCUCAGCCCCUGCUGAACCCUCUGACAGAGCAGGGCUUUAACCCCCAGCCUGCUGUGUCUCCCCAGUUCAGACAUCUCUGCAGAAGAUUAAGCAAGUUAGAGAAAUUAGCUUUGAUCCCUUUCUGCCAGCAUAGGAUUAUUCCACAUCACACUGGGUUUGAAGUUCACACCUAAUCCAGUUUUACACGGCCCGGGGGGACCGAGCUCGAGCUCCUCCCGGCUCUGUCUGCUGAUUUAGUGGCACUUCCUUGAUACUGAGAUUCAAUUUGCAUUCCCAUUACUGCAUCCCAUUCCAUCCUGUGCCAUCCCAUAACACUGCUGCUGCUGCUUUUGGGAUCAGCCUUCCCAAGGCAGAGGGAUUGUUACCCUCCCUGUGCUGUUUUGGGUGCUCACUCCAUUAAUAUACAUUGAUGUAUAUUUAAACUACAAACAUCUCUGGUGUCCUGUGUGGAGGUUUUCAAACUAUAGGAACAGAUCUAGAUACAAAAAGAAUUUGGAAUGUCCAUCCUGGAUCUUUGUGCACAGAAACAACUGGUGUGAAAUGAGAUUCCAAGAGCCACCUGUGCAGAGCUGAUGGUGAUCGUGGCAAAGUGGAGGGUCCUGUCCCCAUUUUCCAGAGAUUUGCUGCUCAGUCCUGAGGGGUUUUUAUAUCCCACUACAUUUUAUUUAUGAUAUUUGUAACCCCAUAAGUUUUCUUCCUAAUAAAUGUGUAUUUUCAGGUUGAAAAAA